UUGUAUUUUCUUUUGCCCGGGCUUUCCAUCCCAGUCAACACACAGUAUCUAUCUAAAAAAUACACUACUCUGCCCUAAUCCGAGAGAGAGGCGCUAGGCAGGAGAUUCAUAUUUAAGCUCAAGAAACUCUCGAGCUCUAAGAUUCAACCUGGAAAAACCAAUCAAGCUCGGACAACAAGCUCAGAGGAUCUUGGACCACGGUUGUCUGCUGCGCAUUUUGUGAGUAUUAUCUCAUCAUAUGCUUGUAGAGGUCCUUAAAAGAAUAAGAAAAACAUAAAUGAUAUAUGCAUUUUUUUUGAUAAAGAGUCUUCUAGGAACCAAGCUAGUUUUGACCAGUCACCUUUCUCCUGUGAGCUUGUUUCUAGAAAGAAAGGGUUAGUCUUUACAUACCCUGGUUUUUGUAGGUCUACCCACCAACUUCGGUCAGCCCAACCAAUAAAGAUCAAAUUGAAAACAAGAGAGUGUUUCAAGUGAAGUACUCUUAUCCAUCAGCUUUGUACCAUGAUGAGCACAAAAAUGAGAUAGUGAAGCGCUUGUAAGCUAGGAAACACAUCCGUGGAAUGACUGGUGAUGGAGUAAAUGAUGUUCCUGCUCUUAAAAAGGUUGAUAUUGGAAUUGUUGCGGCUGAUGCAACUGAUGCAGCACGUAGUGCUUCUGAUAUUGUCCUUACUAAACCAUGACUCAGUGUUAUCAUUAGUGAUGCAUUGACCAGUCGUGCAAUCUUUUAAAGAAUGAAAAACUAUAUGGACCUUAAAGGAAACAUCAUAAUAGUAGGGUAAAAACAUCAGCUGCAACUACAUUGGUCGCAGUUGAAUCCCAGUAGCACAGCCUGGAAUUUCAAAGGUUUCGUAGAAUCCCAGCAACAAAGACUGACUAGAAAGCAUGCAUAUAUGAGAACGAAGAAAAGAAUAAUAGUGUUAUGUUCUAGAAAUUUGAAGAAAAAUAAAUACAAGGAUGACAGUCUUCUUGACUUAAUUAGUUUUAAUUAUCUCCGUCUAGAGUACAUACUUUUAUUUAGAUUCUGCCUUAAACUUUAUUGACUAAUUUAUGUAUGCGACUUAAAUUUGGAAAGGUUUGUAAAACUUUGUAACGGUCAUGGUACCGCUUUUGGAUUGUUGGCUACUUGAUACUAAUUGGGAUUCUGAAUAGACGAUUGAAAUCUGUGGCUAUAUAUGCCUAGCUA